GGCUGGUCCGAAGGUAGUGAGAUCUCACAACGAUUGCUUACAGUCAAUUACUGGUCGACCUAUUUGUCUACACCCCCUCACUACUGCACUUGACUAGUAAAA
rnacentral:Y_RNA from 1 species